CUGAAAUUCAGACAACCAUAAAUUUUAGUCCGGAGAUAAACUCUAUUUCCCUGAAUUUUAAGGGUACAAUUAGUUUGCAUCCUAGAACUACAAGACUAGAAAGUUUCUGUGAUUUAUUCAUACUUGAAGCUAAUCAUGCAGAGUUUUCUGCAACACUAUUUUCAUAAACUACAAGGUAAUUUCUUCUUGUAAGUAAACAAAAAAAAAAAGAAUUCAUGUUCUGGAGCUUACAAUCCAAAUGAAAACUGUCGACCGACUCCAUAAUUUCAAAUGUCUUUU
rnacentral:misc_RNA from 1 species